rnacentral:rRNA from 1 species
UGGGGAAUAUUGCACAAUGGGCGGAAGCCUGAUGCAGCGACGCCGCGUGGGGGAUGAACGCCUUCGGGUUGUAAACUCCUUUCGACAGGGACGAUGCUUUUGUGACGGUACCUGUAUAAGAAGCACCGGCUAACUACGUGCCCGCAGCCGCGGUAAUACGUAGGGUGCGCGCGUUGUCCGGAAUUACUGGGCGUAAAGAGCUCGUAGGUGGUUUGUCGCGUCGUCUGUGAAAUUCCGGGGCUUAACUCCGGGCGUGCAGGCGAUACGGGCUGUCUUGAGUGCUGUAGGCGAGACUGGAAUUCCUAGUGUAGCGGUGAAAUGCGCAGUUAUCAGGAGGAACACCGAUUGCGAAGGCAGGUCUCUGGGCAGUAACUGACGCUGAGGAGCGAAAGCAUGGGUAGCGAACAAG